CAUGUGAUACAAUCAAAAAUACAUAAAUGAGGGCUUUCACAAUGUAGCAUGAAGUAACAACAAAGAAAAACUUUUUAAAAAAAAUAUUCAAUUCCAGCAAACUAAAAGUGAAAUUGAAAAAUAUCUAGCAUGUUUGACUAGCAACAUCAAAAUUGGAAACAAGUCUAUUUCAUUACACAUGCUAAACAUAUGUUCUCGGAUUUUGAACAUACAAAUCAAAUCAAACAAUACUAAGCUGAGCAGUCUAAUUCAAAGCUUACAAGCCUAACCCAGCUCAAUAACUCAACCUGAUCAUAUCCCAGAUAGAGUACAAAAGUCACUGUUGCAUUCAUGGUGUAAAAACAACUCAAAAGAUGUCACCAGGUUUUGAGAGACAAUGGAGCAUCAUUACAAAGCAACAAACCAAUCACUUGGUUGCAAAUUAAACGGUGAUGUGAUUCAGUUUCACUAUCACCAAUCAUAGCCAACUCAAAAAGAAUAAUUCCAUCAUUGACAAAAAAAAAAA